UACGAACCGUCCAAACGUUACUCGGAUUUACUGGGCUUAAAGGGUGCGUAGGCUGCGCGAAGGGUGGGAUGUGAAAUCCCCCGGCUCAACCGGGGAAUAGCGUCCCAAACCGUCGUGCUGGAGGGAGACAGAGGUGGGCGGAACUGAUGGUGGAGCGGUGAAAUGCGUUGAUAUCAUCAGGAACACCGGUGGCGAAAGCGGCCCACUGGGUCUCUCCUGACGCUGAGGCACGAAAGCUAGGGUAGCGAACGGG
rnacentral:rRNA from 1 species